rnacentral:rRNA from 1 species
UACGGAGGGAGCUAGCGUUGUUCGGAAUUACUGGGCGUAAAGCGCGCGUAGGCGGCUUUGUAAGUUAGAGGUGAAAGCCCGGGGCUCAACUCCGGAACUGCCUUUAAGACUGCAUCGCUUGAAUCCGGGAGAGGUGAGUGGAAUUCCGAGUGCAGAGGUGAAAUUCGUAGAUAUUCGGAAGAACACCAGUGGCGAAGGCGGCUCACUGGACCGGUAUUGACGCUGAGGUGCGAAAGCGUGGGGAGCAAACAGG